GAUGAACGCUAGCGGCAGGCCUAACACAUGCAAGUCGAGGGAGAAGCCCUUCGGGGCAGAAACCGGCGCACGGGUGCGUAACGCGUAUGCAACCUACCUUUCACAGGGGGAUAGCCCGAAGAAAUUUGGAUUAAUACCCCAUAAUAUUAUUGGAUGGCAUCAUUUGAUAAUUAAAAUUACGAUGGUGAAAGAUGGGCAUGCGUCCUAUUAGCUAGUUGGAGUGGUAACGGCACCCCAAGGCUACGAUAGGUAGGGGUCCUGAGAGGGAGAUCCCCCACACUGGUACUGAGACAGGGACCAGACUCCUACGGGAGGCAGCAGUGAGGAAUAUUGGUCAAUGGUCGGAAGACUGAACCAGCCAUGCCGCGUGCAGGAAGAAUGCCUUAUGGGUUGUAAACUGCUUUUAUAUGGGAAGAAUAAGGAGCACGUGUGCUUGAUGGACGGUACCCAUAGA
rnacentral:rRNA from 1 species